GGGUUGAAAUUGUUGGCCCUGUCUGAAGCGGUACACAGUUCAUCUUAUCAUAGGAGCUUCUCCUAACAAGGGAUUAGCUGACUGUUAUCCUCUGUUAAUUAUAAACUUAAACAUAAAUACUCAAACAACUGCUUUUAAAAAACUACGUCUACAUGAAUAGGUUUGCAAAAGGAUACAAUACUCAUUUUCCCAAAAUAGAUUUACUACAAGUCCUUCUUGCAAUUUCCUUUUUCCUGAUCAUUGAUUAAGAAAAAUACAAAAACAAUGACAAAAACAGGAAGAAUAUGGUGUAACCUUUCCAAUCAUGUUUCCACUUCAUAAGUAUUGCCCUUCUCUCUAACUAAAGUCACUCUCAAGAUCACUGACGCUGUAUCCAAUUCUUUCACUCCAUAAAAUAUCAGCCCCCCAGACACGGUCACAGAGGCUUGUUUGUAUGAGAGGUUGCUGAUACGUUUGAGCGUGAGGCCAUGUGGGAGAGUGUAUAUCUGUAUAUGUGUGUGUGUGUGUGCCCGAACAUGUGUUGUUGUGUGCGCUGAAGUGUCAUCCCGCCCUGGAAAAUGACUUAUUAAAAUGAAAUUACGCCGUGCCCUGACCCAUGGCAAACGGCAUGAGCUGCAAUUUGUCUAGCAGUUGAGCUGUGAAUAAAAUCUGAUUGGCAAUAAUUUGGCUUUGCUGUUGAUAUAGCAUCCCAUCCUCCACAUCUUUUCUUCUAUCUGCUAUCCCCUCUAACCCCCCCCCCAGCCUCCCUAGCCCCUUAGUCCCCUGCCUUAUCGUAGAUGUGUUGAUCUAAGGGUGAAAUAUUACUGAUUUAGUGAUGUGGGGUCAGUGAGCAGAGCACUGGGAUGACGGUAAGUGGGUGGUUGUGAGGUUGGGGAAGGAUUUUAUGAAGCAGGGAGAGCUGAUGGUGAUGUUAAAUGCCAAGACUGACUGCUGAGCUCAAGUAAAUGGUGACUGUCCAUGUGUGUGUGUGGUGUGUGUGUGAGGGAGGUGGGUUUCUAAGGUGUGUAAAGCUGACCUGAGCUUGCUUGCCCAUGUAGGCCAACGUCUUAGUCCACUGUCAAACUGUUAAUCUAAUUUGUGUGCAUUUACUCCAUGGCUGUGUAAAUUAUCAUGGCUGAAUAAUGUAUUUAUUUGAAGAACAUUUGCCAUGGUCAUCUAUUUUUUUUGCACAAACUCAAAGCACUGACUCAUUUCUUUCAUUUGUCUCCUUUAAUAAGUGUCUUUUUCCGAUAUGAAAAUACACAAAUAUAUAUAAUUAGAGGGGGAAAUGCACACGUGUGAUAGAGGGAAUGAUAGAGGUGGGUAAUGGAGAGAGGGUGUUAAAGACCUCAGUGCAGCGGUGGCCUUGGACAGGUUGAUGUAGUUGCAGCAAUGAGCAGCUCAUAAAAAGUGCUAUCCGUAGGCUUUAGGAAGAUAUUCUAUCUCUGUGCUGCUAACGGCACAGCCUAAAAUCACCUGCUCCAUCAAAGUCAGCGCCCCCCUCCAUUACAUAAAACACACUGGGAAAACAGCCGAGGAAACAAUACAGCCGAGUGUGUGCAAGUGUGGUCCUGUUUGUGGGGAGACAUUAGCUUUAUUUAGCAGGGAAUUGGGAGGCUCAGUGCGAGGCAGGUGGUAAUGGAAGAAUUUAAAAGAUGGGAUCGGAAACUUGAUUUCACUUGACUGAUUUCUCUGGAACAGGCACAUGAAUGUUUUCAUUUAUUGGGGAUGCAGUUUUGAUUCAUGUUGUACUUUGUCAUUGUUUGCAGCCCAUUGCUAUAAGGAAGAUGUACUAAUUGUCAUUGUUUUUUAAAUUUUUUCUGCCUUAAAAAUGUAUAUAUAUGUAUAAUUUCUUUUGAUUCAGUUGGCCAGAAAAACUUUUGAGACUCAAUCCUCGGAUCUGAUUGAUGUUAUCUAAGGUUAUUGCAAUUUACCAAUACUGACAAUAAAUGUCUUUUUUAAAAAAUAAAAUAUUGACAUCAUACUUAACAUAUCCAAAUUGUGAUACAGAGAGUUCCAAGCAGUGGUCCUUUGGGCUGGUGUCCACUGGUUGCAAACCAGAGGAUAGACCAAGAAGAAGUAGGAGACUUCGAGUGAGCUAGCUGGAGCAGCUUUCUGAAAGAUGAUUCGCCACUUUUAAAAAAGGAUUGAAGAAAUGCACUGCUUCUUUCUUGUCUUGCCUCUCCUUAAUAAGACUAAUUCUAUAUAUUGGGAUAAUAUUGCUAUCACAAUAUUUUAAGGGCCGGGAUCAUCUUGAGGUGAAAAUCUGGUAUUGUAAUAACUCUAAUGUCAUUCACUGGUGUCUGAAAAGGUGUAAUAGUCCAUAGAGACCCAGUGAUUUUUUAUUGUUGUUGGAACAUUCAAAAGACCUCUUCAGCCAGUAUUGAAAAGAUACAAAAAAAUUGAUCAUAGUAUAAGUUUUUAUUCAACUUUUAUUUGUAAAAAUUGUUUCAGUGUCUGGGCUAAGAUCCUUUAUUAUGUAAUAUUCUAAUCAAAUUUUCUCUGGGGGAUAAAUAAAGUUCUUAUCUUAAGGUGGGAAAUCAGCUCUGUUACAAGAACAAUCCCACAUUCGCACACACAUAUUGCUUUUCAAGCUACAUCUAAUGAAUAUAGUGAAGUGAUUAUAAAAGCGAUAUACAUGAUUUUGAAUCAAAUACACAAUAUGUAUGCUAGUCCAGCAUUCGUUGCAGUCUGUCUGUACUGCACAGCUUGUUGUCCUUGUUACAUAUUCAUCAAAAAGUUAGCAUCUAAAUAUUUUUUUGCCAUCAUAAUUAAAGCUGAAGGGUUCAGGUGCCUGAGUAUUGCUUUGUUUUUUAACUUAGUACAAGGGUUGGGUACCAUUUCAAUUUAAUCGAUUUGAAUCCCAAAUGUGAUUCAAACC
rnacentral:lncRNA from 1 species